rnacentral:rRNA from 1 species
GGGGGAAGUAAACUACAGGGAAACUUGAGCUAAUACCGCAUAAUGCAGCGGCUCGACAUCGAGGCAGUUGUUAAAGCGGGGAUCGCAAGACCUCGCGCCUGAAGAGAAGCCUGCGGCAGAUUAGCUAGUUGGUAAGGUAAUGGCUUACCAAGGCGACGAUCUGUAACCGGCCUGAGAGGGCGGUCGGUCACACUGACACUGACAUACGGGUCAG